rnacentral:rRNA from 1 species
GCGCACCAGGCGAGAAUUUUUCACAAUGGGGGAAACCCGUGAUGGAGCGACGCCGCGUGGAGGAUGAAGGUAUUCGUAUCGUAAACUCCUGUCAAACGGGAACAAGAAAGUGAUAGUACCGUUAGAGGAAGAGACGGCUAACUCUGUGCCAGCAGCCGCGGUAAUACAGAGGUCUCAAGCGUUGUUCGGAUUCAUUGGGCGUAAAGGGUGCGCAGGCUGUGGGGUAAGUCGGAUGUGAAAUUUAGGGGCUCAACCCCUAACC